ACCAACACUGGCUCACCAAAACAGACCAGCGCGCCCUCUGUAGUUGUUGGCUACAGAUUACCUUAUUUUUAAAAGAUUCCCUGCACUUUACUCACCACACACUUGUAUUUACCAGGCUUCAAAGUGAGAGUACGGAAGAGUGAGAGACAAAGAAUUGGGGAGAAGGCUUCAAACAGAGUAUGAAAGGAGGCAAGAGAGAUGGAGGAGAGAAGGAGAGAGGAUGCCAAGGUGGGCCAGAAGUUAGCGGCCUCAGCCCAUACCCUCACAGACAGCGAGAAAGAGGAAGAGGAAAGAAGAGGUGGAAGAGGAAGCUCAUCUCUCCACAUACCAGGGAAAGAGGAAAGGAAGGAGGGAUGUUAGUCAAGCUAAUAGAGAAGAAGGAAGAGAGAGGGAGAGGAGAGACCUGUGAAGAAGAGGGCACACAAAAUGAGACCCAUGGCGGUCUUCACAAACCACCUGGCAGCCAGUGUUUCUUAUGGCUUCUUCCUCAGCAAGUGUUACAGUGUGGAAGGGAUGUAUGAUGAUCCCCUCACUCUAGUCUUCAAUGACCUCCUCUGUCCUACCUUUGGCACCCUGGUGGGGAGUGCAUAGGUGAGAGUGAGAGUGUGGUGUGUGGGUGUGGGGUUUUGUGGUGUGUGAGAGAGAGAGAGAGGGGUGUAUGUAAGGGUGCAUGCACAGAGGAGGCUGAUUUUCUUGUGUGAGUGAGCAGCGCCAGCGUUCCCUGUGCAAGCACCCAAAGGGCAGUGUCACACUGAGUGGCAGCAUGGCAUGACCAGUGUCAUGUCACAGUGUCUGGCCAGGCCACACACACAGUGCACAGGUCACCCUGGCACCCAGUAUGGACAGGCAUGUUGUCUGAGCCUAAGGCUAUUUGUGCACUGGAGGCAGAGGGAGACACCAGCUGCAUCCUCUUCAUGCUGAAGGGAAGCUACUGAAAGAUUUGAUAAGUAGUGCAACAAUGUAAGGAAACAUGCACUGGAGGCAGAAGGAGACACUGGCUGCAUCCUUUCCAUGCUGAAGAGAAGCUACUGAAAGGUUUGAUAAGUUGUGUGACAGUCUAAAGAAAUGUGAUGAAGAGUUGUUUGAGCAUUACUGAAUGACCUCGGCUUGUUUUUGCUGAAGUGUUGCAGGUUGUGCGGCCUCACAGCUACAGGCAGAACACGCAGCUUUACAGGGCAAUGUCUACACAGGAAAGAUUGACUGUUCCCAGAGUGGUAGUGGCCUCUCUUGCACACAUUGUUUUCAGAGUGGUGGUGGCCUUUCUUGCACACACUGCUCCCAGAGUGGUGGUGGCCUCUCUUGUGAUGGUAGGUGGAAUAGAUGAUGAUCUGGCAAGUGUUAUUGUUGUAUUUCUCUUUUAUUGUUAUAUUUAUUUUGUGGCAUUGAAGAUGGUAGGUGGAGGAGAUUUGGAAACUAAUUUAUUGUGGUGUGUGUGUGGUGGAGGGAAUCACACUUAUACACACAACAUAUAUUGAAAUAAAGAACAGUCUAUGAGAGAGAGAGAGAGAGAAAUGAUUUUACAUAGAAAAAAGAACAAGUAAGAUGGUUUUAACAUGAGAUGCCUUCCAGUUGUUUGGGAGAAUUAGCCGUGCACUGCACUUCCUCUUCCCUCCUACAGUAAGCUUAGUUGAGUGGGAGGUUUUUAUCUAGUUACUGGUUAAAUAUUAUUCUUAAGAUAAGGUGUGGCCAAGGAUUACGUCAAGCAAAGUAAGGUCGUGGCAUUCUUAGUAUUGUUUGUUCCAGUUUGUGUGUAGCAAAAUCCUGUUUCAUGAAUAUAGUUAUUACUAAUAUUGC